rnacentral:rRNA from 1 species
UUUAAAUCUACCUGGUUUCCAGGUCGAGUUGUAAUUUGAAGAAGUGUUUUUUACUUUCCGGGUUGGGUUAAAUCCUUUGGGAUAAGGUAUCAUGGAGGGUGAGAAUCCCGUGUAUACCAACCGCAGGAUYGUUUAAUAUACACUUUCUAAGAGUCGAGUUGUUUGGGAAUGCAGCUCUAAAUGGGUGGUAAAUUUCACCUAAUGCUAAAUAUAAGCGAGAGACCGAUAGCGAACAAGUACCGUGAGGGAAAGAUGAAAAGAACUUUGAAAAGAGAGUUAAAUAGUACGUGAAAUUGUUGAAAGGGAAACGGUUGAAGUCAGUCAUGCCGGCGGGAAUCAACUUAGGGGAAACUCUGAGUGCACUUCUUCGCUUGGCAGGUUAGCGUCGAUUUUGGAUGUCAUAAAAUGACUGGGGGAAGGUAGCUCUUUCGGGAGUGUUAAGCCCUURGUAGAUGUGAUGUCCGGGAUCGAGGAUUGCAACGGAUACCUUUUGGGCUAACCGCCUAGUCUCUAAUACGAAGUUGGGUUAUGGACAGCACGCUGACUGUGAUCUGAUUUUCGGUUAAAAGAUUAG